UCUAGAUUAUCACUUUAACUCGGUGAGGUUGACUUUGUAGAUUUCCUUCUGAGGGUAUCAUGGACAGGAAUAUUUCAAUUUUCAAGACAAAGCACAGAAAGCUAGAGCUCUAAUAUAUUUGCCAUUAUGGCGCACACCUGACAUCCUUGUAGCAUAUAACUACACAAACGGAAAAGUGCAAAAAGUAAGAGCCAUCGAGAAAGUCAGCUCUCAAACAACAUGUCCUAGAGUUCGGAUCAAACAUGGUUGUAAAAGGCACUAGGCGGCCAAUGGGCGGUGGAUGGGCACCAAGGCUUAAUAAUUUUUUUUCAUUACAUUUGAUAAAAA